rnacentral:rRNA from 1 species
UACAGAGGUCUCAAGCGUUGUUCGGAUUCAUUGGGCGUAAAGGGUGCGUAGGCGGCGCGGUAAGUCGGGUGUGAAAUCUUGGAGCUUAACUCCGAAACUGCAUUCGAUACUGCCGUGCUUGAGGACUGGAGAGGAGACUGGAAUUUACGGUGUAGCGGUGAAAUGCGUAGAUAUCGUAAGGAAGACCAGUGGCGAAGGCGGGUCUCUGGACAGUUCCUGACACUGAGACACGGAAGGCCAGGGGAGCAAACGGG